rnacentral:ncRNA from 1 species
AACCAAAUAUGGUAACUCCUUUAAAGAUGAUAUAUUGAUGUCCAAUAUUCGCGAGAUGUACCUUAUCAUGGACAGCAGCUGCAUUCCAGUUAAAAUUUUUGAUAUCAGGCAACUGGGAUUAUGGUAACAUUAAAUUAGCGACUAUUAACGUGCCAGCAGUCGCGUCACACGUUAGCUAAAAGGGAUAAUACAGGAGCUUCAGCUAUUGAUCUGCUUUGGCGUAGUGAAAUGCGAACCAGCAUAAUAUCUAUAAAUAGUGUACUGAAGUGUGACAACGGGAUAGACACCUCUAUGCACCUAUAUGCAACGCCCUGGGGACUACAAGAACACUUCAAACUCAAUCAACAUGGCGGUUGUUCAAACAUUUAGGGGAACUUACUAGGUAAAUGAUACUCAUCAAGAAAGUCUACAAUCACUAUAUUUUGCAUACCGUCGUCGUCAGAUAUCUUAUAAUAAGACGUCAAAAGCUUAGAAGAAAAGACAGAUCAAGCGUAGAUAACGUGGUUGACUCAGCGAGUUACUAUGACAAUUCAACUCACUAUUUUUAGCACAAGUGUUUUUAAGCAGUGCAGGACUUAAAAAGUAAUAUAUAUUUAGUAUACUAUAUGAAUACUUCUUGAACUGUGCACAAAUCGCCCGUCACUCUCGAAACUAUUUGAAGAUAAGUCGUAACAUAGUAGAAGUAGCGGAAGCUGCUUCUAAUGCGCCCG